GACGAACGCUGGCGGCGUGCCUAAUACAUGCAAGUCGAACGCUGCUUAAGAAGAAACUUCGGUUUUUUCUUAAGCGGAGUGGCGGACGGGUGAGUAACACGUGGGGAACCUAUCCAUCAGCGGGGGAUAACACUUGGAAACAGGUGCUAAUACCGCAUACGGCUUUUUUUCACCUGAAAGAAAGCUCAAAGGCGCUUUACAGCGUCACUGAUGGCUGGCCCCGCGGUGCAUUAGCCAGUUGGUGAGGUAACGGCUCACCAAAGCAACGAUGCAUAGCCGACCUGAGAGGGUGAUCGGCCACACUGGGACUGAGACACGGCCCAGACUCCUACGGGAGGCAGCAGUAGGGAAUCUUCGGCAAUGGACGCAAGUCUGACCGAGCAACGCCGCGUGAGUGAAGAAGGUUUUCGGAUCGUAAAGCUCUGUUGUCAGCUAAGAACAGGAGAAAGAGGAAAUGCUUUUUCCAUGACGGUAGCUGACCAGAAAGCCACGGCUAACUACGUGCCAGCAGCCGCGGUAAUACGUAGGUGGCAAGCGUUGUCCGGAUUUAUUGGGCGUAAAGCGAGCGCAGGCGGUGAUUUAAGUCUGAUGUGAAAGCCCCCAGCUCAACUGGGGGAGGGUCAUUGGAAACUGGAUCACUUGAGUGCAAAAGAGGAGAGUGGAAUUCCAUGUGUAGCGGUGAAAUGCGUA
rnacentral:rRNA from 1 species